ensembl:lncRNA
GCCUCUAAAUGUGCAGCAGAUCAAGUCCGCCUUCUUUCUGUGGCCAAAGACACAGCUUUGCCCUCCAGAGACAGCUCUGACCACCCACUUUCCUUCCCACUACCCUGCCCCUCACUGGGCCAAACUGAACUGUCUACCAUCCUCUUACCCCAUUCCCUGCCUUUGUCUUUCAGGCAGGCCACUUCGCCUGAGAUGCUGUCACUCUGAAUCCCCCCUACUUUAGACACUUCCCAUCCUUCAGGGCCCACCUAAAGAGGCAUCUCUUCCACGAAGAUGGAGGGGGACUUUACUGAAAUCCUCUUUUCCCAGGUCUCCUGAGUGCCUUUAGAUGCAUGCCUGUCCCACGCACCAGAAGUUUGUUACCUGCUGCUAAGUUAUGACUUAAUGCCUGAGUAAUGUGCUGGUUUUCACCAGUGUAUGUUACAUUUUCCUAGCAAGACUCUAAAUUCUAAUCCUAGAGAGUGGAGUGGGGAUGGUAUCUCCUCCAUCCUAGGGCGAAGCAUAGCACACACUUGGUAAAGCACACUGACUGCGUCGAGAGACCUGGGUUUUAGUUCUCUGCUGCCGUUAACUGGUCAUGUGACUUUGGGUUUCCUUCCCUGCAAAAUGAUGAAGCAGAUGGAUGGAUAUAUAUCGCUUCCAGCUCUGCUAUUCUCUGCAUCUAUUUGACUGUGGGCUGACCCACCCAGCUCUAAGCCUGGCUAGGGAAGCAGCAAGGGAGGCUAUGGACAAGCCCAGGGAGAGAGAGAGGGAGAGGGAGAUGGGGAGCUAAUAGCUCUGGAGGAAGGAAGGACAUGCUGGGCUAAUGGGAUAAUUGGAUAAUCCUCAGAGCUAGGGGCUGCCAGGCUGGGGCCAGCUGUUAGAAGCAGACACAAAUAGCACAAGCAAAACAAGGGCGCUGAUGCAGGAAGCAGCUUGCUGAGAGAUAUGGAGGAAGGUGGGUGGUGGCCAGAGGGUGGGGGAGGGGACAAAGAGAAACUGGAGCCCCUUUCUGUGGAAAUCUCGAGGACAGGAUCUUAAGGCCUUGUAUUCUGGCCCCAUUUAGAAAGACUGCAUUUAAGGAUCCUGGCCUUCUAUAUACCAAAGAACAUUCUUAGAGACCAAUGGUUUAUCUUGGCCUCCACAGUGUCCUGGCCACCAAGGACCUGCAAGGACCAUAAAGCCCUCAUCCUUGGCCAUUGAGGGUUAUCUGCAAAUGGGGCAUCCAUUUGACAUGCCUGUGAAAUAUUGCUGGACUCUUACAAAAUAUUAAUUUUGGAUACAUGACUCAGUGGGUCCCUUCAUUUCGGGCGGAGAAGUGGACCUGUCAGUGGCGUUGGGCACAGAACGAAAGAAAUUUUGGAGGGAUCUAGGACCCAACUCUGCUGGGUCACAUAAGUCAUAACUUCAGUGACUGGACCUCAGUUAGCCCAUCUAUAAAAUGGGGACAAUAAGCAUUACCUUCCCUGCAGGGCUAUUGUGGAGAUAAAAUGAGAUCAUGAAUGGGAAAGUAAUUUCAAAUGCAAGUGCUUUGCCAAGCACUUUAGUCCCAACUCUGUUUCUAAUUUUGUAUGAUUUUAGAAAGGCUAUUUCCUUUCUCUGAGUUCCAGUUUCUUCCAAUAUAAGAUGAUGAGAUCAGACUACAUGCUCUUUAAAUUCCCUUCUAAUUCUAAUGACUAUAAUUCUUAUAAAAAAGUAGUAUAUUUACAUUUGUGUACCCUAUAAGGACAGUAUGAGAAAAGAAAAUUAGAGGCCAAUUUUAUUAAUGAACAUAGAUAUAAAAUACUCAAGAUUAGCAACUGUAUAUAGCAAUGUACAAAAAAAUAUAUAAAUCAUUAUCCAAUAGGGUUUAUCCUAGGAAUGCAAGGAUGGUUUCACAUUAGAUAAUCAUUCAAUAUCAUUCAUAUUAAUAAGUUAAAGAACACUACAGGAGAAUCUCAACAGAUGCUGAAAAUGCAUUUGAUUUUAAAAAGUCAACACCCAAUCAUAGAAAAAACUGUUAGCAAACUAGAAAUAUAAAAACAUUUUCUUAACUCAAUAAACUAUAUUUUUCAACAUCUCACUGAACACACCAUAGUCAAUGGUGAACUAUUAGAAGCCUUCUCUUUCGGUCGGGCACAGUGGUUCACGCCUGUAAUCCCAGCACAUGGGGAGGCUGAGGCGGGCAGAUCACAAGGUCAGGAGUUCAAGACCAGCCUGGCCAACAUGGUGAAACCCCGUCUCCACUAAAAAAUACAAAAAUUAGCUGGUUGUGGUGGUGCAUGCCUGUAAUUCCAGCUACUUGGGAGGCUGAGGCAAGAGAAUUGCUUGAAGCUGGAAGGCGGAGAUUGCAGUGAAUGGAGAUCACGCCACUGCACUGUAGCCUGGACUACAGAGGGAGACUCCAUCUCAAAAAAAUAAAUAAAUAAAAUACGAAGCCUCUCUUCUAGUCAAGACCAAACCCAUUAUUCUAUCCAAUAUAGUACUAAAGUUCCUAGAGAUCAAAAUAAUACAUGAAAAAGAAAAGAAACAGGCCGGGCGCGGUGGCUCAAGCCUGUAAUCCCAGCACUUUGGGAGGCCGAGACGCGCGGAUCACGAGGUCGGGAGAUCGAGACCAUCCUGGUUAACACGGUGAAACCCGUCUCUACUAAAAAUACAAAAACUAGCCGGGCGAGGUGGCGGCCUGUAGUCCCAGCUACUCGGGAGGCUGAGGCAGGAGAAUGGCGUGAACCCGGAGGCGGAGCUUGCAGUGAGCUGAGAUCCGGCCACUGCACUCCAGCCUGGUGACAGAGCGAGACUCCGUCUCAAAAAAAAAAAAAAAAAA